rnacentral:rRNA from 1 species
AUUGAACGCUGGCGGCAGGCCUAACACAUGCAAGUCGAGCGAGAUCUUCGGAUCUAGCGGCGGACGGGUGAGUAACGCGUGGGAACGUGCCCCUUGGUACGGAAUAGCCCCGGGAAACUGGGAGUAAUACCGUAUGAGCUCUACGGAGGAAAGAUUUAUCGCCAAGGGAUCGGCCCGCGUUGGAUUAGGUAGUUGGUGGGGUAAUGGCCUACCAAGCCGACGAUCCAUAGCUGGUUUGAGAGGAUGAUCAGCCACACUGGGACUGAGACACGGCCCAGACUCCUACGGGAGGCAGCAGUGGGGAAUCUUAGACAAUGGGCGCAAGCCUGAUCUAGCCAUGCCGCGUGAGCGAUGAAGGCCUUAGGGUUGUAAAGCUCUUUCAGCGAGGAAGAUAAUGACUGUACUCGCAGAAGAAGCCCCGGCUAACUCCGUGCCAGCCGCCGCCGUAA